CUCAAAUCAGGUAGGACUACCCGCUGAACUUAAGCAUAUCAAUAAGCGGAGGAAAAGAAACUAACAAGGAUUCCCCUAGUAACUGCGAGUGAAGCGGGAAAAGCUCAAAUUUAAAAUCUGGCAGCCUUUGGUUGUCCGAGUUGUAGUCUGGAGAAGCGUCUUCCGCGCUGGACGU
rnacentral:rRNA from 1 species